ensembl:lncRNA novel transcript
AUAGGCCUUUUAUCACGUCAUCACAAAAAGACGGGAAGAAGAUCACAGAAGUAAAGUGCCAUUUUCAUCACAUCAUUUUAAGGGUACAAAUUAUCAACAUGAUUUGUGAUUACUGAUGUUCACCUUGAUCACCUGACUGAGUGCCUUGAACAGUACCUGCCACUCAAUAGGAUGUCUGAUUUGAAAGUGAUCUUGGCUUGGGAAAAGUCCAUCAGGUGUGACACAAGGCUCAAGGAAAGUAUGAGAAAAGGUGACUAUUCUCCAUCUUCUUGGGUGUCCAGAGAGUGUUGGAGUGGCUCCAGCAUAGCUACAAGGGCAGGCUCGGAGGUGGUAUCUGCCCCCAAAAAUCAUUUCUGUGUUGCAUGAGCAUCAUUUGAGAAGACCUGCUGCAUCAUCCCUAUCAAUAAGGCUGUCUCCAUUUAUUGAAGCUCAGAUACCAUUGCUUCAAGGUGCGAGCUGGUAUAACUGAAAGCAAAGAAGACAUUGCUAAGUUGAACAUUUUAACUAGUUUUAAAAAAAUUGUUAAAACAGCAUUGCAGAAACAAUAGUCUGGUAAGCAAGGCUUUCAUUUGCAAGAACUUUACAAGAGAAAAAGGAUAUGCAUGACUUAAAUAGCCCAAACUUGAAGUACAGAGUCUUUAGUAUAAGCCAGUACUUCUGAAGGUAUACUCUGUGGACCUCUGGAUACUGGCAUCAAAUGCCCUCGUAGUCAUUGUAUUCUUCAUCACCAAGGAAUUACGUUUUUUUUAAAAAAAUAGCUUCAGAAUGUCCUUGCUGAAGCAGUAAAAAAUUAAUUUUAUUAAAUUUUGAUCCUUGAGCGCA